AGAAAGGUUUUUUUCUUUUUUAAUGGGCCAAUAAAGAGAAUGAAAAGCACAUUGUUGGUGUUUUGGAGAACUUUUACCUGACAAAGCUGUAAAUAUUUUGCAGAAGCAUUUUACCCUAAUGUUAAGAACAAAGCCGAUGCCCACUUUGGAGCUUUGAAGAGGAUCUGGAAUCCAAACAAGAGGUUGCCCAACAGUUGGAUAGUCUUAGAUUGGAGUCAUCGGACAGGUCAUUUCUGCCCAUGGAUUAUAGGAAGGUUUCCCAAUGACCAAACCAGAAGACUUCCUUUA